GGCAAUUUCAGCCUUAGCAUUGGAAAGCAGCUGCCAAUGGCAAUGGAGAGACUCUGACAAUAGAGUGGCAUCAGCUGUGAAUGUCCCCACAGUUGAUGAUUGCAGUGUUGAGCAUCUGAGCUGAAUGAACCGGCCUGUGUCCGCUGCGUUUUGAGUGAUGAACAAAAAAGCCUAUUCUGGAGGUAUUUUGACUCCAUCUUCACCAGUUCCAAAUCAUGUUUCUACUAUCAAGUCCAAGGAGCCUGCAUACAAAGUUCAGGUCCUGUGAAGUCACAUCCCAGUUCUCCACAUCUGAAAAACCUGUGAAACCAUCUUAAAUAGGGUGCAAACAGAUGCCAGAGCACAGUGGUAUGAAGGUGAAAGUGCCAAAAGGAUUUGUCCGUGCAAGCUGUUCCUGCCUCUGCUUCCAUAGCACAGCGGCAAUCUGACCACAGGGACUGGGUCUCCUCUUGCUCGUGGUUGUGUGGAGUGAAGCACAAGAGGUGCCCGGAAGCUUUAGCUGCAAGGCUGGGCUGAAGAAGGUGGGAAUUCCUGCUGAGCGCCGCUUUCCUGCGCUUGAGAAGCACGCAAGUGGGCUGCUGAAGUUGGAAUUACAGCUGAGACCUGUGCAUCACGCACACCAGAAUCAGUAAGGAUUAAAAUGAAAGCCAUCGGUUUCAU